AAGGAUUUAAGUUAAAUAAAACUAAUAACCUUCAAAGUUAUAAACAGAUAAGCAUUCUAAGCCUUA
rnacentral:tRNA from 1 species